ACGAUUUUUGUCGCGAAUGAGAGUCGGUCGGGCGGAGGGAGGAAUCGAGCCGAGGGUCAGGGUCGGGGUGGUGGGGCGGCUUCAUAAAGGCCUGUUGCAGGCCGCAAACCCGAAUAAGAUCCUGCGGGCCCGUGUUUACUGUUCCGAGACUUUUUUCCGGGAAGAAGGUCAGGUUAACGGCCGCCAUUCUGGUUUAGCGAGGAGCAGAGCGCGUGAUGGGCCAUUUUGUUGACGCAACAGAGGAGGCGGUGCUUCAAGGGAGUUGGAAGAUUUGAAGACUCAGAUUUUUCUCUGACUCCAGUACUGCUGAUAUCUUUCCACUGCAGGCUCCAGCAGGAAAUUUUAAAUUUGGAAACAGUGAAACUGUUUCAGAGGAUACUCGAAGGGAAAGAUUUGCAGUCAGGAAACUCAAACCAAACAUCACAUCAGGAUGUGAAGGAAUUUCCAAUUUUUCAUAACCUGAAUACCAUCAGAUUUUGAACAUGGAUAACAAAAGCAUUGUUCACAGUGAAGAGAAACUAUACACAUGUUCUGUGUGUGGACGAGACUUCAGCCGAUCAUCUGAUCUCUCAGAACAUAAAUGUCAUCACACCGGGCAGAAGCCAUGGAAAUUUGGGGACUGUGGGAAGGGAUUUGAUUAUCCAAUUAGGUUGGAAACUCAUUGGCGCAGUCACACUGGGGAGAGGUCAUUCACCUGCCUGAGUGUGGGAAGGGAUUCACUAUCUCAUCCCACCUGCUGAGGCACCAGCGAGUUCACACCAGAGUGAGACCAUUCACCUGCUCCAAGUGUGGGAAGGUAUUCACUCAGUCGUCUAACCUGUUGAAGCACCAGUGAGUUCACACUGGGGAGAGACCAUUCACAUGCUCUCAUUGCGGGACUGGGUUCAGAAAAUCAUCUCAACUCGCUGUACACCAGCGAAUUCACACUGGGGAGAGGCCAUUCACCUGCUUUGAGUGUGGGAAGGGAUUCACUCAGUCAUCCAACCUGCUGAAACACCAGCGAGUUCACACCGGGGAGAAACCUUUUAAAUGCUUAGAGUGUGACAAGUGCUAUAAAAGUUCAGGGGAACUGAUGUCUCAUCAACUUGUUCACACCGAUGAGAGACCAUUCAGGUGCUCUCACUGCAAUGCUGGGUUCAGGAAUUCAUCUCAGCUCACUACACCAACGAAUUCACACUGGGGAGAGACCGUUCACCUGCUUAGAGUGUGGGAAGGGAUUCAUUAAUUCAUCUAACCUAUUGGCUCAUCAGCGAGUUCACACUGAGGACAGGCCUUUUAAAUGUCCAGACUGUGGGAAGUGCUAUAAAAGUUCCCGGGACCUGAUGUCCCAUCAACGUGUUCACACUGACGAGAG